rnacentral:rRNA from 1 species
GGUGCUUGCACUAGAAAAACUUAGCGGCGAACGGGUGAGUAACACGUAAAGAACCUGCCUCAUAGACGGGGACAACUAUUGGAAACGAUAGCUAAUACCGGAUAACAGCAUAAAUCGCAUGAUAUAUGUUUAAAAGUUGGUUUCGGCUAACACUAUGAGAUGGCUUUGCGGUGCAUUAGCUAGUUGGUGGGGUAAAGGCCUACCAAGGCGACGAUGCAUAGCCGACCUGAGAGGGUGAUCGGCCACACUGGGACUGAGACACGGCCCAGACUCCUACGGGAGGCAGCAGUAGGGAAUCUUCCGCAAUGGGCGAAAGCCUGACGGAGCAACGCCGCGUGAGUGAAGAAGGAUUUCGGUUCGUAAAGCUCUGUUGUUAGGGAAGAAUGAUUGUAUAGUAACUAUAUACAGUAGAGACGGUACCUAACCAGAAAGCCACGGCUAACUACGUGCCAGCAGCCGCGGUAAUACGUAGGUGGCAAGCGUUGUCCAGAAUUAUUGGGCGUAAAGCGCGCGCAGGUGGUUUAAUAAGUCUGAUGUGAAAGCCCACGGCUCAACCGUGGAGGGUCAUUGGAAACUGUUAAACUUGAGUGCAGGAGAGAAAAGUGGAAUUCCUAGUGUAGCGGUGAAAUGCGUAGAGAUUAGGAGGAAC